UAGACUAUUCUAGGGUUGAUCGAGAGGGCUUUCACUUCUCUUCCACCCGGCAGCUGGAAACGUGCUGUUCUUGCCCCCCUCCUCCUCCUCCCGCUCUCCGAAGAAUCGAAGCAACAAAUAUGGACUCCUGCGGCGACGACGAUGAUGGGACAUGCGAAGCGAUAAUUCCUGGUCUGCCUGAUGAUUUGGCCUUGAGGUGUUUGGCAAAGAUCUCGCAUGGAUAUCAUGGAUUGCUAGAAUGUGUGUCAAAGAAAUGGAAACGAGCGAUCAGGAGCAUGGAUUAUGCUCAUAUAAAGGCCAGGGAAGGGUGGUGUGGGGAUUGGCUGUUUGUUUUGGGAGCCGACAGCCCAGCUCUGUGGCAUGCUUAUGAUCCUGAUGCAGAUCGUUGGCACCCUUUGCCAACAAUGCCAGGAUUCACUGAUGAUGAUGAACUUUGCAGGUUUUCAUGUGUAAGUGUGAGUAACAAGUUCCUAGUGAUUGGUGGCUGCCACAUAUCACAUUCAGAAAAGAGGUGCUGGGAGACGAGAUCGGUGAUGGUGUUCGAUCCGUUCAAGAAGCAGUGGAACGCCGCGGCUAACAUGCAAACAGCACGAACUGAUUUUGCAUGUGCUGUUAUCUCUGACAAGGUUUAUGUAGCUGGUGGAAGCAACUCCAGUAGUUCUGAAGGGCUUGCUACUGCUGAAAUUUAUGAUCCUGAUGCAGAUAAGUGGAAAGAUUUACCAUCAAUGCCUUUCCCCCUGAUCGAGUGCUUCAGCAUAUCCCAUGGAGGCCAAUUUCAUGUUGUCGGCAAGAGAAUCUGCAAUUUUCAGCAUGAUACUUAUGUUACCUUCAAUCCAUCCGAGCAGAAGUGGCAUGUUAUGGAAGAUUUGCUGCCAGUUUGUAAAUUGACACAUGACACUACAACCAUUAUUGAAAGUGACAUCUACAGCAUACUUCCAGAUGGCACUGUUACCAUGGUGAUGCCCGAUCAAAGGGAUUGGCACGCUUUGGGUGUAUAUCCUGCAGUGGUUCUACCAGACCAUGAUAGACCAUUGAGUCCAUUCGGGUUUGGUUUUAUCGCAUUUGGGAGGUGCAUAUAUGUUGUUGGAGGUAUGGUUCUCAAGUAUAACACAAGCAAUCAUACGUAUGCAUAUGUGAAGCUAGAUGCAACUAAAUUCUGUGAUCCAAGAACUUCACCACUAGAAUGGCAGGAUGCUAAACCUAUGCCAGUACAAGCUUGUCGUAUUUUAGGAUGUGCUUCAAUGGAGGAAUAGAGUUCAUCCUGCUUUGUAUUGUAUCCAUUUUUGUAAGAUGUUACAAAAAGAAAGAUCUGACUGGAGACCUCAAUGGCUUCCAGCAUGAUAUGAUGUUUAUUCAGAGAAGUGGUGGAUAUCAUCUCAGGGUCAAUGGUUCUGCAUAAAGCUUAUCUCUUUGGGUUUCAAGAAAGCAGGUGAGCGUUUUUUUUUUCUCUUUUUUGUAACUUUGGGCUUUUGAUGUUGUAGCUUUGGAUGCAAUUUUUCAUUAGCUGAUCUUUAUAAGAUGAUGACAAUUAUUGCUGCAUUUUCGGGUAGUUUGUUUUAAGAACUUUAAUUUUGGCAAAUAUCAGUUCUCAAAUAUUUCCGUCAUGUUAUCAGGGAUGGCACCAUCUGUCUAUGGUGGAUGCCGACCGUGAAGGAUGUUUGUGAUUCUAUAGUUGAUGCUCCCAGAACUGGACUUAGCAACUUGGAGGCUAGCCUUGCCUUGGGCAGCAUUUGUUCAAAACCGAUGUCCUGAGUCACGGAGUAAGAAAGAAAGAAUACGGAGUACCGCUGAAGAGGACAAAGGCAAAGGAAAGAGAACGGAAACAAACAAAGAAAGCCUGUUAAACACAAAGAAUACGGAGUAAGAAAGAAGUCUGCCAAAGUAUACAGUUAUAUGUGCUCCUUAAUUACGCCGAACAUAUAGUUCAGAUUUCUCUUUGCUGCAAAUGCACAACUAUUGGCGUGGUAUCACUGUUCAUAAUUAAGUUGAUUGAAUUGUAUCACUUGCCAGCUUGACUUGAAAGGCACAAUCAAACAGCAACUCCCAACAACAGGACACUGAGUCCUGCCGAAACACAUGUUAUGUCUGUAUGUUGUAUGCUUGUCAGUUCAUCGACCACUAAGGAAUGUUGACAAUAAGCCUAGUGAACUCUACAAUCUAUCUACUUGCAGGUCAUUACCAACACUGUUUCCAACAAUCCGAAGAGAACAACACAGAGCUCCUAUGGCCCAAUGGCACAGAAAGAAGAAACCAACAGUGCUAUCAGAGUGUAGCUAACCAGUUUAAAUGCCACAUUGAGCUCCUUUUAUUGAGACGUAAGGCGGAGGAGAAGCUGUAGAAAGCUCCUUUGGUAUGCAGGAGCAGUGACCAGUAAGCCAUGCAUGGAUGAUGGCUGCAAUCAUUCCAAUUUGAAACAAAGAGCAAGUAACAUGUUGUACCUCAAAAAGGUUUCUGGCCCACUUUGAAAGGGGAAGCUUAAUUGAUUUGUAUAUCUACCUGCUUGUCGGCAGAGGAUUAUUUAGAUGCCCCCUCAAUUAAUUAAAUGCUUAAGGCUUCAUCUUCUUGCCUUUAUCAUCAGGAAAAAACAAGUCAUGCAGAAAACCUGAUUUCUGUAGUGUGCCUAAUUAUUCUUCCACAACCAUUCUCUCCAUGAGGAUUUAUAUGUAAGAGUUGCAUGUAGGAAACAUUGAUUGGCAGAUUGUAAUUACUUGAUUAAUCUUUUAUCAGAUCUUUUCGGGUAUACAUUA